rnacentral:rRNA from 1 species
CUACGGGUGGCACCAGGCGAGAAAACUUUGCAAUGUGCGAAAGCACGACAAGGUUAAUCCGAGUGGUUUGUGCUAAACGAACCUUUUGACAGUCCUAGAAACACUGUUGAAUAAGGGGUGGGCAAGUUCUGGUGUCAGCCGCCGCGGUAAAACCAGCACCUCAAGUGGUAAGGAUGAUUAUUGGGCCUAAAGCAUCCGUAGCUGGCUCUGUAAGUUUUCGGUUAAAUCUGUACGCUCAACGUACAGGCUGCCGGGAAUACUGCAGAGCUAGGGAGUGGGAGAGGUAGACGGUACUCGGUAGGAAGGGGUAAAAUCCUUUGAUCUAUUGAUGACCACCUGUGGCGAAGGCGGUCUACCAGAACACGUCCGACGGUGAGGGAUGAAAGCUGGGGGAGCAAACCGGAUUAGAUACCCGCGUAGUC